AGAGACAGCAGUCGCCACGGGAAUACGAAGGGGGCUAGCGUUGCUCGGAAUGACUGGGCGUAAAGGGCGCGUAGGCGGAUUGUUUAGUUAGGCGUGAAAUUCCUGGGCUUAACCUGGGGACUGCGCUUAAUACAGGCAGUCUAGAGUGAGGAAGAGGGUUGUGGAAUUCCCAGUGUAGAGGUGAAAUUCGUAGAUAUUGGGAAGAACACCGGCGGCGAAGGCGGCGACCUGGCCCAUUACUGACGCUGAGGCGCGAAAGCGUGGGGAGCAAACAGGAUUAGAUACCCCUGUAGUCCCUGUCUCUUAUAC
rnacentral:rRNA from 1 species